UGAGGAAUAUUGGGCAAUGGAGGCAACUCUGACCCAGCCAUGCCGCGUGAAGGAUGACUGCCCUAUGGGUUGUAAACUUCUUUUAUAUGGGAAGAAACUUAUCUACGUGUAGAUAACUGACGGUACCAUACGAAUAAGGAUCGGCUAACUCC
rnacentral:rRNA from 1 species